GUUAUGGAGUUUUACAAAACAAAAGGGUAUUUCGGUAAUUUCAUGAAAAAUGGGAUAUUUUGAAAUGGUUACAUUUUUGGUGUUAAAUGGUGUGCCCAAGGCCCCCCUGAUUUUGGUCCCCCCGACUCUCCCCUCUCAUUGCCUGUCACGUGGCAUCCCACUCCCCUCCCUUUCUUUCUUUCUCUUUUCCCUCCCCUCCCCGUUAACCACUCUCGGACCAUUCUCUCUACUCUCCGUGCGCUUUCCUUCUCCUCUCUGAAAACAACACACACACACAUACACACCCAUACAUACUUAUAUGGAUGCACCAAGUCGCCAUCUCAGCGAAGGAAGAAGGAUCCUCAAUGGAUACCAACCUUCGAACCCAUAACCUCGUGGAACAACGACUUCCUCCUCCGGCGAACCCUCAACCAUGGUGCAUUUAUUGUGGCGUUUUCGUCUUCGCUAGUUUGCGUGGCUCUUCGAUGAUAGAGUAUCGGCUAAGAAGCCUAACAGAAGCAAGAGAGCCUAUGACGAGGCAAAAACAGCGAAGCUAAACACAAAGUAAAGCAGUGAGCGGGGAUACAAACCACAAACACUUGCACUAAGUAAAAGUGUCACCCCAAACCCACCACAAACGGCUAAUGAGGACAAGGAAGACCAUCAUUACAUAAAACAUCAACUAAUGAAGAUGGGGGUCUAUUAACCCACACUAAAUGCGUACUUAGUGGUCACUGUUCUGCCUAUGGGGCGAAUGAUAUUUCUAUUGGCUUCGGGCCGGACAUUUAUAUUAGCUUCGGGUUAGGCAUUUGUAUUGGCUUCGGGCUGGAAGAGAUAAGUAGAUGGCUUCGGGCCGGGAGAUAUUUGUAUUGGCUUCGGCCGAGAGAUAUAGUGCUUCCGGCGAGUAUGAUACCAUUAUUUAGCACACUUUAUAUAAUAUAUGUUUUAUGAAA